AGUGAACGCUGGCGGUAGGCCUAACACAUGCAAGUCGAACGGCAGCACAGUAAGAGCUUGCUCUUACGGGUGGCGAGUGGCGGACGGGUGAGGAAUACAUCGGAAUCUACUUUUUCGUGGGGGAUAACGUAGGGAAACUUACGCUAAUACCGCAUACGACCUACGGGUGAAAGCAGGGGAUCUUCGGACCUUGCGCGAUUGAAUGAGCCGAUGUCGGAUUAGCUAGUUGGCGGGGUAAAGGCCCACCAAGGCGACGAUCCGUAGCUGAUCUGAGAGGAUGAUCGGCAACCCUGGACCUGGGCACCGGUCAGGCUUCCUACGGAAGCCGCAGGUGGGAAUUUUUCGCCAUUGGGCGAAACCUUGCUCCGGCCAUCCCGGUUGGGUAAGGAGGUCUUUCGGGUUGUAAAGCCCUUUUGUUGGGAAAGAAAAGUGGCUGGUUAACUCCCCGCUGUUCUACGGUAACCAAAAGAAAAGGCACCGCCAACCUCGGU
rnacentral:rRNA from 1 species